GAUGAACGCUGGCGGCGUGCCUAAUACAUGCAAGUCGAGCGAACAGACGAGGAGCUUGCUCCUCUGACGUUAGCGGCGGACGGGUGAGUAACACGUGGAUAACCUACCUAUAAUACUGGGAUAACUUCGGGAAACCGGCGCUAAUACCGGAUAAUAUAUUGAACCGCAUGGUUCAAUAGUGAAAGACGGUUUUGCUGUCUCUUAUAGAUGGAUCCGCGCCGCAUUAGCUAGUUGGUAAGGUAACGGCUUACCAAGGCAACGAUGCGUAGCCGAACUGAGAGGGUGAUCGGCCACACUGGAACUGAGACAGGGUCAAGACUCCUAAGGGAGGCAGCAGUAGGGAAUCUUCCGCAAUGGGCGAAAGCCUGACGGAGCAACGCCGCGUGAGUGAUGAAGGUCUUCGGAUCGUAAAACUCUGUUAUUAGGGAAGAACAAAUGUGUAAGUAACUAUGCACGUCUUGACGGUACCUAAUCAGAAAGCCACGGCUAACUACGUG
rnacentral:rRNA from 1 species